UGGCGGAGGAUACGAGAUUCGAACUCGUGAGGGGUUGCCCCCAACACGCUUUCCAAGCGUGCGCCCUAGGCCACUAGGCGAAUCCUCC
rnacentral:tRNA from 1 species